rnacentral:rRNA from 1 species
CCUACGGGGGGCAGCAGUGAGGAAUAUUGGUCAAUGGUCGCGAGCCUGAACCAGCCAAGUAGCGUGAAGGAUGACUGCCCUACGGGUUGUAAACUUCUUUUAUAAAGGAAUAAAGUGAGGCACGUGUGCCUUUUUGUAUGUACUUUAUGAAUAAGGAUCGGCUAACUCCGUGCCAGCAGCCGCGGUAAUACGGAGGAUCCGAGCGUUAUCCGGAUUUAUUGGGUUUAAAGGGAGCGUAGAUGGGUUGUUAAGUCAGUUGUGAAAGUCUGCGGCUCAACCGUGGCAUUGCAGUUGAUACUGGCAGCCUUGAGGACAGGUGAGGUAUGCGGAAUUCGGGGUGUAGCGGUGAAAUGCUUAGAUAUCACGAAGAACUCCGAUUGCGAAGGCAGCUUACGAAACUGCCACUGACGCUGAUGCUCGAAAGUGUGGGUAUCGAACAGGAUUAGAUACCCCUGUAGUC